GUGGGGAAUAUUGGACAAUGGGCGAAAGCCUGAUCCAGCCAUGCCGCGUGAGUGAUGAAGGCCUUAGGGUUGUAAAGCUCUUUCAGUGGGGAAGAUAAUGACGGUACCCACAGAAGAAGCCCCGGCUAACUUCGUGCCAGCAGCCGCGGUAAUACGAAGGGGGCUAGCGUUGUUCGGAUUUACUGGGCGUAAAGCGCACGUAGGCGGAUCGUUAAGUCGGGGGUGAAAUCCUGGAGCUCAACUCCAGAACUGCCUUCGAUACUAGCGAUCUUGAGUCCGGAAGAGGUGAGUGGAACUCCUAGUGUAGAGGUGGAAUUCGUAGAUAUUAGGAAGAACACCAGUGGCGAAGGCGGCUCACUGGUCCGGUACUGACGCUGAGGUGCGAAAGCGUGGGGAGCAAACAGGAUUAGAAACCCGGGUAGUCC
rnacentral:rRNA from 1 species